AGAAUCGCGUCCCUAGGCAUCCUCCUCCCAGCCGACGGGCGUGUGACACGCAGGGCAUCCUCCUCCCAGCCCUGUCACGUCGAAACGACGCCCGUCAGUACCUCCUCCCACUGGCGGGCGUUCGUU
rfam:Labrenzia sp. VG12 chromosome, complete genome.